GGCUAAGAAGACAAAUGGAGAUUUGCAGAAGAAAAUAUCAUAUGGGUUAUCCUGGUAGUCUCCAGAGAAUUAACUGAGUCAUCCACAUUAUUUAGCUCCAUCUCCAUCCUUCAUGUGAUAGGAAACAGAGUUUUGAAGUCGAGGACAUAAGGCAGCAUCACCAAAUGCUCUCCAGGAGAGUUGCUACCUCUGCCAAAGGCAAAAAGGAGAUAGGGAAGCUGCCACAGCAUCUGUUGGUUCCAGGAAGAAACAACCUUGCCUGUGGCCUGGGGAUAGAAGGAUGACACCUCAUCUAGUUACUUUAUGCAUGGCAGUUCUGCACUAGCAAAAACUCAGAGGCCAACCCCCAGACUGGAGCCUGAAAUGUUGCUACAUAAAACCCAGUGUUUCCA
rnacentral:lncRNA from 1 species